CGGGAAUAUGUAUAUGGACUAAUAUUGCCAAAGUCAGUUUGUCGCCGAGGUUUGCCAGACUUCCCUGACUAAUUCCAGCUAUGGCCCAUAGUUCAAUGUUUAUGGGGAUUCCUUUAUACGCGGAUGGACGGACAGACCGACAAACAUCAGAAAAGCGUAAAGCGGUGUUGCCACGUAAUAAUUGAGUGCAGCUUCAUAACUUGAAUGUAAGCAAGGAUCUGUACGCGAGCAAUGGAUACCAUGGGCUUCCGUUUUUUUACAACCACAACACCGAAAAAAUGUUUGAAAAUCCUGAAAAAAUCAAAACUCCGACUAGCCCAACCCGAAACCCGGCUCAACUAAAAAUUCCAGCUUUUUCACAAUUUUUUCUAAUAUUGGAAAGCAACAUCCUCCGCGGAAGAAAAUGAUGCCAUCUGGAAAAUUGCUUUUGGUGUUUAAACUCUCCACAAUUUUGGGCUGGCUGAUUAUUGCUGACCUCCACCCGGUUAAGGCGCUACUAGAUAUCGAGAUCCGCGAAGAUGACGAACUAUUGUGUACGACCGAUGCACACUGCGACAUAGAAGGAAUUGUUUGCGACUCAACGAAACAAGAGUUGUGCACUUAUAGUGAUCCCGAUACCAGUUACUGCGCGUGUCUUGAGGCGCAAUGCUACAGCAAUAAUGAAUGCAGGGAACGGAAUAUGACAUGUCCCACUCACACUGGUCCGGAUUGCUUUAUUUGUUUGCCAAAACCUCUAGCUCUCGAACCAUUUAUUUUUUUCGAGUUCUGCCUGCGGGGAUCGAGAUAUGAAGUUCCAAGGGGUAUAAGCUAUGCAACCCUCAUUGAAGCCACACCCCUUUGGGGGUGUGGUCACAGGUGAAUAUUUAUUUUCUUGCAUUACCCCAUCAAGUGGGGUGUCAUUUGAAAGGUCUAAUCAAGCUCUAAACAACUCCGACCAUUAUUGGGACAUUAUCGGCACACCCACAGCCAGGGGUGUGGUCAAAAUGCAAAUUUGAAAGUUUUGUUUCGAUAAUUUUGAGAAUGUUUUUUCAUAAAAUGACAAUAUUCUAUAAUUUUAUGAAGUAUUUCUGCCCCCUAACUUAGUUAACAAUGAAAAUAGGACCAAAAUUAUAAAUUUAGUUAUGCCUCCUCAGGGGGUCACCACUUCAUAAAAUCCCCCCGCUCGUAAUAAUUUUUUUAGAGGGGUGUGUUUAAAUAAACAAUAAAAUUCGAACUUAGUAUUGUUUUAACUACCUGAAAUUCGAAUUUUUCUGUCACAACUUCCUGAUGGGAUAUCUAGAGCAUCCCACCCGAUUCCAAGAAGCCCUCAUAGGCGUAUGUAGUACUCGAUGGGAUGAGUCAAACCCCCUCAAAUACAUUUGCCCAUGUCUGCCCGUUAGGCCAUGGGGUGUGGUCGAAACAGCCCCAGAACGCCUGUUUGAUGACCUUCAAACACAUGAACCAGCCGAACCAUGAGGGCGAAAAUUCUGAAAUUUGGCAGGUAACAUCAAAUAUAGUUGGUUAACAAUAUUCUGGGGUCAGUCUCAACUUCCCCCCACAGGGGGGGGUGGUUCGCCCCCCUGGGGGUGUGACCUCACAAAAAAAAUUAGACGCAUUCCUUGGGUCACCCUGGUCAAGAAUAUAUAUAUAUAUGAUAGGAUUUGCGCCUUACAAAUUUUGAACAAAAAAAUUACCAUUUUGGAGUCCGUAAAUUCGGCACAAUUUAUGCAGAAUUUUGACAACAUUACAAAAUUUGCAAUCAAUUCGUAACCUAUAUAAUUCAUCCGGGGAUUCUGCACGUUGGUGCGUUAGUGCACCGAUUCCCCCAAUUGUUUCAUACCCUUUGGCAUUACGGACUGUUCGAAAACAACGGUGCUAAAAAGCUAGUUUACUUGAUGUGUUCCGUUUUAAUUAGUAUCAAUCAAUGCUAAAAACUUCAUUCACAGAUGGACAAACAGGGGUUCAAAAAGACGUAAGUGGAGCCACUGUUUAAUUUGUUUAAGAUAUGUUUAAGAGAUGUAUGCAAGUGCAAAAUAAAUAAAAAAACUAGCAACAAAACGUAUGUGCAAUUGUAAAAUUAUUCAUAACGCGGUAAUGAAAUGUUGAUAAUUAUACUGCAAACAGAAAUUGAAUUUAUUGAACCCCACUGGCUAUGUAGUAAUGACGAAAUUAAAAAAAAACCCUCGGGUCAAUUUUAUACCAUCCAACGAAAAUUUGGUUUAUUCCAACCAAAAUUAAUAAUUUGGCCAAUAAUGCAAUGGGCAACGGGUUUAAUUUUUGUGUCCAACGAAAAUGUGAAAGCAUCCGACCAAAUUUUACAUAUCAUAUUAGUCUACU